rnacentral:rRNA from 1 species
CAGUAGCCGCGGUAACACGGAGGGUGCAAGCGUUAAUCGGAAUUACUGGGCGUAAAGCGCACGCAGGCGGUCUGUCAAGUCAGAUGUGAAAUCCCCGGGCUUAACCUGGGAACUGCAUUUGAAACUGGCAGGCUAGAGUCUUGUAGAGGGGGGUAGAAUUCCAGGUGUAGCGGUGAAAUGCGUAGAGAUCUGGAGGAAUACCGGUGGCGAAGGCGGCCCCCUGGACAAAGACUGACGCUCAGGUGCGAAAGCGUGGGGAGCAAACAGGAUUAGAUACCCCAGUAGUCCCUGUCUCUUAUAA